rnacentral:lncRNA from 1 species
UGGGGAGGACUAUCCGUGCAGCUUCCACUGUUUGUCUGGAUGGAGUACAGAGCUUCCGCAGGUGCUCCAUCUUCGUCGGCAGCAAGGUUCAGAGGGAAAAGGUCCAGGACAAAGCUUAAGGAAGGACAGGAGCUGCUCCUAAUGUCACAAGGCUCCCAGACAUCUACCCAGCCUCCUUUGUCUCUGACCGGUCUCGGUCCAUCUGGGGCAGCCAUCCUUCUCCUUGUUCCUGGAGCUCCCAGCUUUAGAUCACUGGCACUCCUGGGGGGCCAUCUCGUCGAUUUUGACACUUUUAUCUUCUGAGGAUGAUCCUUUUCCACACUGUAACUUCCCAGCCCUGAAUUUGUCCAGAAACUGAAAACCACUGGACGUGGGGCCAGACCCCGCCAGAUGCUUUGUGUGACAACUUCUGGUGCCCAGUGUGAACGUGGAGAUACUUUGCCCUCUCAGCGGACUCAUCUCAGUGGAUUAAUCAGAAGUGCACACAGCUUUUGGGGUUUGCUGUGGAGAAGCUUGUGCUGCUUGGAAGGACUGUGGUUCAUGAAAAAGCCCCUAGAUACCCUCAGCUCCUCCUACCCCAUCCCUGCU